rnacentral:lncRNA from 1 species
UCCAAGAUUAGCUGGAUACAUAGAUCUGAGCUUGGGGAGCCGCAAGCGGCAUGAUGGUUGGAAGAGUAAGACGGGGACUGCUCACCUGGAGUACAUAGCUAUGAAAAGUAUGGUGUCACUCAAGGUCACAAGCUCAAAUUGGUCGGAGUCCGCAAAGAGACGGGAGUCAUUACCUCGUUUGGUUGCUUAGCAGGGUUGAGCCAGCAAAUUAGCCACUUCCACGGAAGUUCUGCUGUACUGGCGUCCUACCCUAGUUAGCAUCUCAUCUCGCUUCUUGAUCACCAGCCUCAGAGAGAAAUGCCUGCCAGGACCUCGUGACCAUGAAUGUGCUGCCUUUGAAACAAAUCAAAACAACCAAACCAUUCCAAUGACGAUAAUAAUAACAACCCACCUGCAACAGUAACUGAAGAGGCAAGAAUGCAUCCUAGGCCUUGAAAGAGUCUUUCUUGGGCCCUAUCUCCUAGUAAGGAAGCCCAGGCAGAUCAUAAAAAGUCACAUGGAGAAGAAUCAGGGGCCCUUCCCCUGACUGAGCUCUUAGUCGGCAGCUAAUUGCACUUCUCUGGCCGUAUGAGUGACUCAUCGUGAAGCAGGUCUUGGUGCUCCAGUGCAGCUGCCGAAGAUGGUCUCUCGGGAACAGUUACGGAUCUCCCACGUACCAGAUCCCUGUUCAAACUUCCCAACUCGUGUGAGGUGGCACAUUUGCAGACCCAGUAGUGAGGAAGCUGAGGCAGGAGAAGAAAGAAUUCAAGGCCAACCUAACCGACAGUGAGAGCUCCAGACCACCCAGGGAGAUGUAGUGGGAGCACCUGUCUCAAACAAAUACAAAGUAACAAACAACAACAACAAAAAUCUUUCUUGUUUUAAGGUGUUUGUUAUUUUGUUACAGUGACUAAUGCCUAAACACAAUCUUCCCUCCUGCAACCUCUCUCUGCAUCCUUUUUUUUUUUUUUA